rnacentral:misc_RNA from 1 species
GGACUCCAAACCUUCCAAUUCUCAAGGAAGGACUUGUUUUAGGGUAAUAUAAAUAUGCUAUCCUACCAGAAUCUCCUGCCACAGCCAUUCUUUCGAGUUUCUAUUUGUUCUUCAUCUUCGUCGUUGCUCUUUAUUUUUGUAAUAUUACGAUUCCUCUAUCUUUCACAUUCUAUUAAAUAUUUAGGAUGACGAUCCUCAUCAACCAGCCUGAGCUUGGAAUACAAGUGGAGGACCAGAGACACCAGCAUGAUGUGAAGGAGUUGGUUUUGGAUGGUGGAUUUCCUGUACCUGAUAAAAAAGCUGUAUCAGGCGAUGGAUUUGAUGCACCAGAAAUCAAUUCAUUUGGAUAUUCUUUCAGGGAUUAUCAAGCUGAAAGUGAAAGGCAAAAGACCGUCGAGGAAUUCUAUAGGCAGCAACACAUCAACCAAACCUAUGAUUUUGUCAAGAAGAUGCGAGAGGAAUAUAGCAAGCUGGAUAAAGCUGUUAUGAGCAUUUGGGAAUGCUGUGAGCUCCUUAACGAAGUGGUAGAUGAUAGUGACCCUGAUCUUGAUGAGCCCCAGAUUCAGCACUUGUUGCAAUCUGCUGAAGCUAUUAGAAAAGACUACCCUAACGAAGAUUGGCUGCAUUUGACUGCUCUUAUUCACGAUCUUGGAAAGGUUCUUCUUCUUCCCCAGUUUGGAGAACUUCCUCAAUGGGCUGUUGUAGGAGAUACAUUCCCUCUUGGCUGUGCUUUUGACAAGUCCAAUGUUCAUCACAAGUACUUCAAGGAGAAUCUGGAUACCAAGAAUCCUGUGUACGGCACCAAGAAUGGAAUUUACAAGGAAGGAUGUGGGCUGGACAAUGUAAUGAUCUCAUGGGGGCAUGAUGACUAUAUGUACUUGGUGGCCAAGGAAAAUGGAACCACUCUACCACCUGCUGGAUUGUUCAUUAUCCGAUACCAUUCUUUCUAUCCUUUGCACAAGGCAGGGGCAUACACACACCUAAUGAACAAGGAGGAUCAAGAGAAUUUGAAGUGGCUCCAUAUCUUCAACAAGUAUGACCUCUACAGCAAGAGCAAGGUUCUUGUUGAUGUUGAUGCGGUGAAGCCAUAUUAUCAAUCUCUUAUUGAGAAGUAUUUCCCC